GACGAACGCUGGCGGCGUGCUUAACACAUGCAAGUCGAACGGAAAGGCCCUGCUUUUGUGGGGUGCUCGAGUGGCGAACGGGUGAGUAACACGUGAGUAACCUGCCCUUGACUUUGGGAUAACUUCAGGAAACUGGGGCUAAUACCGGAUAGGAGCUCCUGCUGCAUGGUGGGGGUUGGAAAGUUUCGGCGGUUGGGGAUGGACUCGCGGCUUAUCAGCUUGUUGGUGGGGUAGUGGCUUACCAAGGCUUUGACGGGUAGCCGGCCUGAGAGGGUGACCGGCCACAUUGGGACUGAGAUACGGCCCAGACUCCUACGGUAGGCAGCAGUGGGGAAUAUUGCACAAUGGGCGGAAGCGUGAUGAAGCAACGCCGCGUGCGUGAUGACGGCCUUCGGGUUGGAAACCGCUUUCGCCUGUGACGAAGCGUGAGUGACGGUAAUGGGUAAAGAAGCACCGGCUAACUACGUG
rnacentral:rRNA from 1 species